GUUAGCGUGUUUAAAUUUGUUGUUAGCGUGUGUAAUUAUGCUGUUAGCAUGUGUAAUUGUGUUGUUAGCGUGUGUAAUUGUGUUGUUAAAUCUGUGUAAGUUUUUUAUUGUGUGUUGUUAAGUGUGUGUAAUUCUGUUGUUAGCGUGUGUACAUUUUUAUCAGCAUGUGUGUGUUAGCAUGUCCUGAGCAUUUUACCUUCAGGUGGCUGAGUCAUGGAAGUUUGAGGCAUGUGAUAUCACAGAACAGGACACACAAACAAACACACACACAGACACACACUGUCACUUUGCCAGUGUAUGACAAAGACAAUGAUGAGCAGAAGAGUUUUUUGGUCAUUCUCUGAGGUGCCAGGAUUUACACUCGAUACACUGCCACUGGUACGUCCAGACUGCAUGCAUCAUGUUCUCUGUGAACUGGAGACAAGUCGGAUGACCUGGAUGGUGAAAAGCCAGAGAAGGUGUGUAAAUGUAGCUCCCACUGCUGUCUGUGAGAAAGUGAAUCAGCAGCCAGACGGUGUGACAGACAGAAGCGAUUCCUGAAGUAACGACACUUUCUGAAGUUACGACACUUUCUGAAGUAACGAUACUUUCUGAGAUUCUGGUUGGCGGUACAGGAUUUGAAGCGGCGCCCCCUGCAGGAUGUUUUUGCUCGGGCUCAGGAGAUGUUGCAGUGGUUUCUUGCUGAAGGUUCUCCAAGCGCCAUAAAUCUGGACUCACACAGUUAUGAGAGAACCAGUCAGAAUCUCAAAGUCUCCGGAUGCUACAGCUUCAUGGACGCACAGGCAAGAGAAGAAGUUUCAAAUGUCCCACCAUGUGAUAUCCUAUGUGGGAGUCCAAACUAAGGAAAUUAUAUUGUUAACAGAUUAUUUUUUAUUAUUGUUAACCUCCAUCUCCAAUAAUCAUCAUUUUUUAAUUUGAAAUCUAAAAGUGUCAUCAGGUCAUUUUUGUUCAAUUAUUGUUUCCACACACAAGUUUAAUUAUUAAUUUUAUUUUUUAAACAACAGUAAAUCUUUUAUUCCUUUUAUACCCCAGGAAUUUCCCAUGAGCACUAGUGCAAGCUGGGAAGCCUGGCAUUCCCAUGGGAACUGAAAUAAGAUGUUUUGUGUGUGUGUGUGUGUGUGUGUGUGUGUGUGUGUGUGUGUGUGUGUGUGUGUGUGUGUGUGUGUGUGUGUGUGGUAAUCACAUAUUCAGUACGGAUGUAGAAUAUGGAAAAUAAGGUGAAAUGCACGUUAUCUUUUGGGCUCUUUCACUCUUAAAAAAAACAUCCUUUUUUUCUUGACCAAUCAGAUCACACAUUAGGGGAGAGA